UGGGGAAUAUUGCACAAUGGACGGAAGUCUGAUGCAGCGACGCCGCGUGGGGGAUGAAGGCUUUCGGGUUGUAAACUCCUUUUGAUGCUGAACAAGGCUCUUGUUAGGGUUGAGGGUAGGUGUUGAAUAAGCGCCGGCUAACUACGUGCCAGCAGCCGCGGUAAUACGUAGGGCGCGAGCGUUGUCCGGAAUUAUUGGGCGUAAAGGGCUCGUAGGCGGUUUGUCGCGUCUGCUGUGAAAGACCGGGGCUUAACUCCGGGGUUGCAGUGGGUACGGGCAGACUAGAGUGCGGUAGGGGUAGCUGGAAUUCCUGGUGUAGCGGUGGAAUGCGCAGAUAUCAGGAGGAACACCGAUGGCGAAGGCAGGUUACUGGGCCGUUACUGACGCUGAGGAGCGAAAGCAUGGGGAGCGAACAGG
rnacentral:rRNA from 1 species